UACGUAGGGUGCAGGCGUUAAUCGGAAUUACUGGGCGUAAAGCGUGCGCAGGCGGUUUGCUAAGACAGGUGUGAAAUCCCCGGGCUUAACCUGGGAACUGCGCUUGUAACUGGCAAGCUUGAGUGUGGCAGAGGGGGGUGGAAUUCCACGUGUAGCAGUGAAAUGCGUAGAGAUGUGGAGGAACACUGAUGGCGAAGGCAGCCUCCUGGGCCAACACUGACGCUCAUGCACGAAAGCGUGGGGAGCAAACAGG
rnacentral:rRNA from 1 species